GGAAAGUUAGUUUAGUAUUUAGAAUUCUGUUUUUGUAAAACAGGGGGGUUUUAGGAUACUUUCCA
rnacentral:tRNA from 2 species